AUCGAACGCUAGCGGGAUGCUUUACACAUGCAAGUCGAACGAGUGGCGGACGGGUGAGUAAUAUAUCGGAACGUGCCCAGUAGCGGGGGAUAACUACUCGAAAGAGUGGCUAAUACAGCAUACUAUUGGAGCGGCAGCUCUCGGAUUAGCUGGUUGGUGGGGUAAAGGCUCACCAAGGCAACGAUCCGUAGCUGGUUUGAGAGUACGACCAGCAACACGCGGACUGAGCCACGGCCCAGACUCCGUCGGGAGGCAGCAGUGGGGAAUUUUGGACAAUGGGGGAAACCCUGAUCCAGCCAUCCCGCGUGUAUGAGAAGGCCUUCGGGUUGUAAAGUACUUUUGGCAGGGAAGCGGUAUCUGCAGAAUAAGCACCGGCUAACUACGUGCCAGCAGCCGCGGUAAUAC
rnacentral:rRNA from 1 species